rnacentral:rRNA from 1 species
UAAUUUAUAUUUUAAUUAAGAUUAUUAGAAAUUUAUUUUUUAGUUAUGAUUGGGGUGAUUUUUAAAGAUUAUUAAUCUUUAAAAUUUUUUAAUAAAAAAGUUCCAUGUAGUAGUGAUUUUUUGAUAAAAAUACUCUAGGGAUAACAGCGUUAUUAUUUUGGAUAGUUCAUAUAGAUAAAAUAGUUUGCGACCUCGAUGUUGGAUUAGGAUUCUUUUAUGAUGAAGAAGUUAUAAGGGAGAAGUUUGCUCAACUUUUAAAGUCCUACUUGAUCUGAGUUCAACCCGGG